GAGGUGUCAGAACGGGAUGGGAGGGGGUCUGAACGGGAUGGGAGUUGUCUGAAUGGGAUGGGAGAGUGUCUGAACGGGAUGGGAGGAUGUCAGAAUGGGAUAUGAGGGUGUCAGAGGUGUCAGAACGGGAUAGGAAGAUGUCAGAAAUUUCAGAACAGGAUACGAGGAUGUCAGAGAUUUCCGAACGGGAUAGGAGGAUGUCAGAGACGGCAGAAUGGGAUAGGAGGAUAUCAGACCGGGAUACGAGGAUGUCUGUCAGAGAUUUCAGAAUGGGACACGAGGAUGUCAGAGAUUUCAGAACAGGAUAAGAGGGCAUGAGAGAUGACAGAACGGGAUACGAGGAUGUCAGAACGGGAUACGAGUAUAUCAGAGGUUUCAGAACGGGAUAUGAGGAUGUCAGAGGUUUCAGAACAGGAUAGGAGGGUAUCAGAGAUGACAGAACGGGAUAGGAGGAUGUCUGUCAGAGAUUUCAGAACGGGGUAGGAGGGUAUCAGAGAUUUCAGAACGGGAUACGAGGGUAUCACAGAUUCUCCGGGAAGCUCCUCCCCGGGACCCCCCCUGUACCCGCGGGUGCGGGGACCGCACCCUUCCCCCCCGGCGGGCUCUGCCCCUUUGCUCUCCAGAGCACAGCAGGAGGAGGAGGGGGAGGAGGGGGAGGA